AGUCCACCCAGAAAGCUCAGAAGGCUAAAUGAAUAUUAUCCCUAACACCUGCCACCCUAGUCUUAAUUAGUGGUGGAAGAACGGUUUCAGAAGUGUUUGUCUCAAUUGGCCUUUUAAGUUUAAUAGUAAAAGACUGGUUAAUGAUAACAAUGCAUCGUAAAACCGUCAGAAGGAAAGAAUGUGUUGUGGGCCAAUUUUUUUGGUGUGUGGCAGUUUUAAGUUAUUAGUUUUCAAAAUCAGUACUUUUAAAUGGAAACAACUUGACCAAAAAUCUGUCAC
rnacentral:lncRNA from 1 species